rnacentral:rRNA from 1 species
CCUACGGGCGGCAGCAGUGGGGAAUAUUGGGCAAUGGGCGCAAGCCUGACCCAGCAACGCCGCGUGAAGGAAGAAGGCUUUCGGGUUGUAAACUUCUUUUAUCAGGGACGAAGCAAGUGACGGUACCUGAUGAAUAAGCCACGGCUAACUACGUGCCAGCAGCCGCGGUAAUACGUAGGUGGCAGGCGUUAUCCGGAUUUACUGGGUGUAAAGGGCGUGUAGGCGGGAGUGCAAGUCAGCGGUAAAAGCCCGGGGCUCAACCCCGGCGAGCCGUUGAAACUGGCUGUCUUGAGAUGUCGAGAGGUAUGCGGAAUGCGCAGUGUAGCGGUGAAAUGCUUAGAUAUUGCGCAGAACUCCGAUUGCGAAGGCAGCAUACCGGCGGCGAUCUGACGCUGAGGCACGAAAGCGUGGGUAUCGAACAGGAUUAGAUACCCCUGUAGUC